UUUAUGUGUUCAGGAAGCAGCGACUUUAUAAUAGAAGAGGGUUGAUCUGUGACGGAAACCAGUAAAAGAAAAACAACAAAACAAUGGUGUGACUGAUAAUUAAAGCUUGCAGCUAUGUGGUCAGGAAGAUCCGGGCUUCAGCCUCUGGGGAAGAGCAAGAAAAGCCCGUUCAGACACCAUGUAGUUCAAAAGCUUUAAAGAAAAGGGAGCGAAAGUGGUCUUCCUCAGCUUCUGCCCUGAACCCAGGACCUGAAGAAGAGAUGGAAGGAGCAGCAGCCUCUGGAAUGAUGUCCCAGCCGGAUCUGCAGCUGUGUGGAUCCUGACGUUAAAGACCUGGCUGGACACUGGCACUGUAGUCAACCCAAGUCCAAAAUGUAAUAUGUUACAAGUCAAAGACAAUUUUCAAUUUACCGUAUGCCUAUAAUGUAAUUGUAGAAUUUGAUUUGAACAAAAUCACUUAAAACCCUAAAAAGAAUGCAAAGAAACUAUUUUUAAACAUUUUCUUAUAUUACAGUGACCAGUGUCUAUUCAGGAUGACCGUUAAUAUUAGAAAAAAAUAUUUUACAGCAAACCUUCUGAUACUGCAAACAACAAGUAGAAUUAAAACCAUGACAGUUUGAUACUUUCAUUUACUCGACACAUAAAAUUGUAAUGCAGAUGUUUAGGUCUGAUAUUUCUGUGUCUGUGGUUUGUCAGUAGGUUUCCUGUAAAUGGCCUCAUUUUAUGUACAGCAGUGUUUGAAGGCUGACUUACCAACCUUUGUACCCAGAGGCUGAGUUGGCCUGAUGUUUCUGCUGUGACAUCAAAUAAUUUAUUAAGGUUUACAUUGUUUUCUGUAAGCUAAAUCUUGUAACAGAUUUUAGUAUCAUUACUAUCAAUUUGUUGAGGAAAUGUAUAUCUGGAUAUUUGUAGAAUCAUGGUUACAUUUGUAAGAAAAUUCAGUUCAUCACUACUUUUGCAUUGGUUUAUUAUAAAAUUAGCUUUGCCAUUGUUUUUCCAAAGAAUUGUGCAGUUAAAGUCAUUCAAAAGUUG